CCUACGGGCGGCUGCAGUGGGGAAUUUUGGACAAUGGGCGCAAGCCUGAUCCAGCCAUGCCGCGUGCGGGAAGAAGGCCUUCGGGUUGUAAACCGCUUUUGUCGGGGAAGAAAUACUCUGGACUAAUACUCUGGGGUGAUGACGGUACCUGAAGAAUAAGCACCGGCUAACUACGUGCCAGCAGCCGCGGUAAUACGUAGGGUGCGAGCGUUAAUCGGAAUUACUGGGCGUAAAGCGUGCGCAGGCGGUUGUGUAAGACAGAUGUGAAAUCCCCGGGCUCAACCUGGGAAUGGCAUUUGUGACUGCACAGCUAGAGUACGGUAGAGGGGGAUGGAAUUCCGCGUGUAGCAGUGAAAUGCGUAGAUAUGCGGAGGAACACCGAUGGCGAAGGCAGUCCCCUGGACCUGUACUGACGCUCAUGCACGAAAGCGUGGGGAGCAAACAGGAUUAGAUACCCCUGUAGUC
rnacentral:rRNA from 1 species